ensembl:lncRNA
AUUUAGAACACAGCAUAGGGUUCCAUUUAGAACACAGCAUAGGGUUCCAUUUAGAACACAGUAUAGGGUUCCAUUUAGAACACAGUAUAGGGUUCCAUUUAGAACACAGCAUAGGGUUCCAUUUAGAACACAGCAUAGGGUUCCAUUUAGAACACAGCAUAGGCUUCCAUUUAGAACACAGCAUAGGGUUCCAUUUAGAACACAUCCCAUGUCUGAGACAGACACAAAAGCUUUAUAACAGUUAGACCAGUAAUAACAUCAGGCUUGAGAACAGUUCUAACAUGUUAUAGAACAAGACACAGCCUUGAGAACAGUUAUAACAUGUUAUAGAACAACAGGCUUGAGAACAGUUAUAACAUGUUAUAGAACAAGACACAGGCUUGAGAACAGUUAUAUGGUUAUAAUAAGACAAUGGCUUGAGAACAGUUAUAACAUGUUAUAGAACAACAGGCUUGAACAGUUAUAACAUGUUAUAGAACAACAGGCUUGAGAACAGUUAUAACAUGUUAUAGAACAACAGGCUUGAGAACAGUUAUAACAUGUUAUAGAACAACAGGCUUGAGAACAGUUAUAACAUGUUAUAGAAGAACAGGCUUGAGAACAGUUAUAACAUGUUAUAGAACAACAGGCUUGAGAACAGUUAUAACAUGUUAUAGAACAACAGGCUUGAGCCUCCAUGUGUUGCCUUCCGUUUGCUCCUCACUGGUUUAUCACUUUAUAUCUAUAUCUAUAUCACUAUAUCAAUUUAACCUGGAUGAAUAAACUGCUUAUUAAAACAG